rnacentral:rRNA from 1 species
GACGGAGGGGGCUAGCGUUGUUCGGAAUUACUGGGCGUAAAGAGCGCGUAGGCGGUUUGGUAAGUUGGAAGUGAAAGCCCGGGGCUUAACCUCGGAAUUGCUUUCAAAACUGCUAAUCUUGAGUGUAGUAGGGGAUGAUGGAAUUCCUAGUGUAGAGGUGAAAUUCUUAGAUAUUAGGAGGAACACCGGUGGCGAAGGCGGUCAUCUGGGCUACAACUGACGCUGAUGCGCGAAAGCGUGGGGAGCAAACCGG